GGUUAAGUUAAUAAGGGCGCAUGGUGGAUGCCUUGGCACUAGAAGGCGAUGAAGGACGUGACUAACUACGAUAUGCCUCGGUUAGCUGUAAGUAAGCUUACCCGGGGGUUUCCGAAUGGGGCAACCCGAUCUUAAUGAUCAUCAUCUUUUUGAAUUCAUAGAUUAGAUGAAGCAAACGCUGUGAACUGAAACAUCUAAGUAGCAGUAGGAAAGUAAAGAAAUUUCGAUUCCGUCAGUAGCGGCGAGCGAACGCGGAAGAGCCCAAACCUGGAUGCUUGCAUCCAGGGGUUGUAGGACUGAUGUUGAGUUACAAAGGUAUAAGAUAGCAGAAACAGUUGGGAAGCUGUUCCAAAGAGGGUGACAGGCCCGUAUGCGAAAUCUUGUACUCUCUAAUCAGGAUCCUGAGUACGGCCCAGCACGUGAAAUUGGGUCGGAAUCUGGGAGGACCAUCUCCCAAGGCUAAAUACUAACUAGUGACCGAUAGCGAACAAGUACCGUGAGGGAAAGGUGAAAAGAACCCCGGAAGGGGAGUGAAAUAGUUCUUGAAACCGUGUGCUUACAAGAAGUUCGAGGCCGUUAAUGGCUGAGAGCGUGCUUUUUGUAGAAUGAACCGGAGAGUUACGAUUGCGUGCAAGGUUAAGGUGCAAAGACUGGAGCCGUAGCGAAAGCGAGUCUUAAUAGGGCGAAUCAGUACGUAGUUGUAGACCCGAAACCGAGUGACCUAUCCAUGGUCAGGUUGAAGGUGGGGUAAUACCUACUGGAGGACCGAACAAGUGGGUGUUAAAAAACCCUUUGAUGAACUGUGGAUAGCGGUGAAAUUCCAAUCGAACUCGGAGAUAGCUGGUUCUAUCCGAAAUACAUUUAGGUGUAGCCUUGCAAUUAGCUUACUGGAGGUAGAGCACUAUUUGGUCUAGGGGCCCUUCAAGGGUUACCAAAAUCAGAUAAACUCCGAAUGCCAGCUAAGUAUGUGCAGGAGUCAGACGGUGAGUGAUAAGAUCCAUCGUCAAAAGGGGAACAGCCCAGAUCACCAGUUAAGGUCCCUAAAUAUAUGCUAAGUGGAAAACGUUGUGAAGGUGCAUAGACAACUAGGAGGUUGGCUCAGAAGCAGCCACCCUUUAAAGAGUGCGUAAUAGCUCACUAGUCGAGUGCUCUUGCGCGGAUAAUGUACCGGGGCUAAGCAUAUUACCGAAACUGUGGAUGCGUAAGCAUGGUAGGAUAGCGUAAUUAACGCGAUGAAGGAUGACCGUAAGGACAUGUUGGAGCGUUAACUAGUGAGAAUUCCGGUAUGAGUAGCGAAAGAUAGGUGAGAAUCCUAUCCACCGAAUGAGUAAGGUUUCC
rnacentral:rRNA from 1 species